rnacentral:rRNA from 1 species
UGAUUAAGCCAUGCAAGUCGAGAGGUGUAAGACCUCGGCGUACUGCUCAGUAACACGUGGACAAUCUGCCCUGAAGUGGAGGAUAAUCCCGGGAAACUGGGGGUAAUACUCCAUAGUUCGUGCUGACUGGAAUGUUAUGCGAACGAAAGAUCCGUCGCUUCAGGAUGAGUCUGCGGCCGAUUAGGUAGUUGUUGGGGUAACGGCCCAACAAGCCUGUCAUCGGUACGGGUUGUGGGAGCAAGAGCCCGGAGAUGGAUUCUGAGACACGAAUCCAGGCCCUACGGGGCGCAGCAGGCGCGAAAACUUUACCAUGCGGGCAACCGUGAUAAGGAAACCCCGAGUGCCAGCACAGGCUGGCUGUCCGCCAGUGUAAAUAACUGGUGAAGAAAGGGCCGGGCAAGACCGGUGCCAGCCGCCGCGGUAAUACCGGCGGCUCGAGUGGUGGCCACUAUUACUGGGCUUAAAGGGUCCGUAGCUUGAUAUGCAAGUCUCUUGAGAAAUCCGCCAGCUUAACUGGUGGGCGUUCAGGGGAAACUGCAUUUCUAGGGACCGGGAGAGGUGAGAGGUACUGCCGGGGUAGGAGUGAAAUCCUGUAAUCCCGGUGGGACCACCUAUGGCGAAGGCAUCUCACCAGAACGGGUCCGACAGUGAGGGACGAAAGCUGGGGGAGCAAACCGGAUUAGAUACCCGGGUAGUCCCAGCUGUAAACGAUGCGCGUUAGGUGUGUCAGUGACCACGUGUCACUGAGGUGCCGAAGGGAAACCGUGAAACGCGCCGCCUGGGGAGUACGGUCGCAAGGCUGAAACUUAAAGGAAUUGGCGGGGGA